ACCCCCUCAGGAUGGCAACUGGAGAGUUUCCAAUACUCUACCAGUUUCGACUACAAGAAGGAGAGUCAAGCAGAGGCAUAUCCAUUCCAUUCCUAGCUUGGGCAGUGGCUAGGGAGUGGAAGACAAUCGGCUACAAGU